UCUGUGAAAAAUGCAAAAUAUUUAACUGAUUAAAAUUAGAGAUAUCCACAUUUUAAAAUCAAAAUAUUUCAUGUCCAAAAUAUAUUGUAUUAAUCACCGUAGAAAUGUUUAGAAGCCCUCGUUUCAAGCUUAGAGCAAUUAUUUUGAAUGUGGAAAUAACUCUUCUGAGUUUGAAACACUUUCAGAUUGGUCUGAACAACCCACUUUGAAUCUCAUACUGGGUGUUUCAACUCAAAAUGUUUUGCACAUUCCUACAUAAAAUAUAGUAAUCAUUUCAAUCUGCACUGUAGUCUACAGAAAACAGGACUUAGGACUUAAGCACACAUAAAUUAUUAUUAUUAAUUCUUAAAGACAUAUAAAUUGUUGUGUUACAAUAGGACUUAUUUGGUUGUUAUCAACUUGAUUCUAUGUAAGUGCCAGCAUGGUGUAAUGAUUAAUAGUGAACUCAGAGUGGAAAGACCCAAGUUUAGUCUUAUCUUAGACAUAGAAGCCAAAUCAAUGUCAGUUAUCUGAUAAACAAUCCGCCUUUUCACAUUGUACAUUGUAAGCUUUACUAGAAGAGCAUGUGAAAUACAAAAGAAAUGGACCAUGCAACUAAGCAAGAGAAAGACUGACUUGGAAGACUUCUACCAAUUAUGAGUGCCAGAGGAACUGCAGGAUGCUGCGGAAGAGAGCAAAGCAAUAUGGCCACUUCAGUUUAUUCUGAAAAGUGAAGGAGCCACGUUUCUUCAUGAAACAGAUUCCAGAGUGAGCUUUUUUUUUAAUCUUUCAUCGAAGCAAACUAUCCAUAUGCAGCCCUACUGUUUAAUAAAUUCAGAUGUCAAUGCCA